UUAGGAAUCUUCCGCAAUGGGCGCAAGCCUGACGGAGCGACGCCGCUUGGAGGAAGAAGCCCUUCGGGGUGUAAACUCCUGAACCCGGGACGAAACCCCCGACGAGGGGACUGACGGUACCGGGGUAAUAGCGCCGGCCAACUCCGUGCCAGCAGCCGCGGUAAUACGGAGGGCGCGAGCGUUACCCGGAUUCACUGGGCGUAAAGGGCGUGUAGGCGGCCUGGGGCGUCCCAUGUGAAAGACCACGGCUCAACCGUGGGGGAGCGUGGGAUACGCUCAGGCUAGACGGUGGGAGAGGGUGGUGGAAUUCCCGGAGUAGCGGUGAAAUGCGCAGAUACCGGGAGGAACGCCGAUGGCGAAGGCAGCCACCUGGUCCACCCGUGACGCUGAGGCGCGAAAGCGUGGGGAGCAAACCG
rnacentral:rRNA from 1 species